AAUCAGAGCUAUUAUUUAAUCAGAGCUAUUUAUAUCAGAACUAUUUCUACAAUUGUUGCAGAAUGCUUAAGGUUUUAGACAUAGUUUUCAUCAGAGCUAUUUAAUAAUUUCUCCCCCUUUUUGGCAUAAUCAAAAAGGCAUAAAACAUAAAAAGAAUAAUAGAGAGAAAAACACUUCAUUAAACAAAAGCACAAAGGCAAGCAGCAGUCAAAACAUCAGAUUCAACAGAAAUAUCAGAGCAAAAAAAAAGAAAAGACAGAAGCAAAAACACUAGGCAAACAAAAGAAAUCCUAAGUGCCUAAGGGUUUGGAGGAGGAGG
rnacentral:lncRNA from 1 species